AUUGAACGCUGGCGGCAGGCCUAACACAUGCAAGUCGAAUGGUAACAGGAAACAGCUUGCUGUUUCGCUGACGAGUGGCGGACGGGUGAGUAAUGUCUGGGAAACUGCCUGAUGGAGGGGGAUAACUACUGGAAACGGUAGCUAAUACCGCAUAACGUCGCAAGACCAAAGAGGGGGACCUUCGGGCCUCUUGCCAUCAGAUGUGCCCAGAUGGGAUUAGCUAGUAGGUGGGGUAACGGCUCACCUAGGCGACGAUCCCUAGCUGGUCUGAGAGGAUGACCAGCCACACUGGAACUGAGAAACGGUCCAGACUCCUACGGGAGGCAGCAGUGGGGAAUAUUGCGCAAUGGGCGCAAGCCUGAUGCAGCCAUGCCGCGUGUAUGAAGAAGGCCUUCGGGUUGUAAAGUACUUUCAGCGGGGAGGAAGGGAGUAAAGUUAAUACCUUUGCUCAUUGACGUUACCCGCAGAAGAAGCACCGGCUAACUCCGUG
rnacentral:rRNA from 1 species